UCCGCCCCCCUCCACUGCCCUCAUCACCGAAUUCAUGGUAUCGUUGUACAGAUUAAAUGAGAUACUCUAGUGGGAAUUGCCUGGGACAGCGUCUGGCACGUGGCGAGUCCUGAAGACGCACGAGCUGUUACUACAGAGAUAAUUUUCCCUGUCUCUCCUUUCUUCCUCCUUCUCACCCUCUUCCUCCUCUCUUCGCACAUUGCCGAGAAGAUCCUGAGGCCUCCUGCGUGGACCGCGAGAACUGCUGUGGGCGUCCAGCUAUAAUGAAAUAUUUCGAGCACAGGACAGAAUACACUGCCUGCCCCUUUCCCAUCUCAUCUCCCUUCUUUUCUCCCCAGAGUUUGCCUUUUAAGAAGAUAAUUCUGUGUGGAGGAUGAGAGGAGGAGAGACUGGAAGCAAAGAGAACAACCGGAAGCCCUCAUCUAAGCAGAAGACAGUGGUGGCCUUAAUCUGAGGGGGUGACUGUGGAGUUUGACAAAUUUGAGAGGCUUUAAGACACUGGAAGGAAGAGUACAUGCAUUCAUUCAUUCAGUGGCUGUUACCUGAGCCCCCAAGAUGUGUCAGGCCCAGAAAUGGCCAGGCCUUGGUUAGAGAGUGGUCUGGAAGUGCUGGGGGUCUGUGAGUGAGAGGGCGGUGAUUUCAUUGGAUAAAGAAGGUCCUUCCUGAAAGUGAAAUUGCAGCCCACAGCACUGCCCAGGGCAGAAGGAGUGGAGGGAAGAUUACUGGAAGGUGCCAGAAUCUCCCCUCAAGUCCUACUGCCGGUGGGAGGUGUGAGCCACACAGAGAAGGCCUCCUGUGGUUCCCACCCUGCUGUGACUGGCUGCCUUUUGGCUCGAGAGGAGGUUUGCCUUGGCUUUGAUUCCUGGUUAAUUACCCUCCAAGGUUAAUUCUGUAAACGCCAGUAAUGACCACGAGUUAAUUUCUCUCUCUCCCCUGCCCGCCUCACUUCUUCAAUUUUUUUUUCUUUAAUGGGCCAUCCAAGCUUGUUGGAAUGUUUACCAAAGCAGGAUAGUUAGAGAUGUAAAUAAAUGAAUUUACCUUGUCAAAAGGAUCUGGAGAUAGAAUUAAGGCGAGAGGAGUAAUUUACAGGUAAAUAAUUACUUGGAAACCUCAGUGGGGAGACUGCUGGGUUUCUCUAAUUAUUUAUCUUCUCCCAAUUUUCUCUUCUUUGAACUGCCAGCGUAGGGGUGUACGGGGGUGGUGUGGGGAGCGGGAGACGCUAUUUUGGAUUUCCCUUCUCGAUUGUGAAAUGCCUUUUUUGGGGGGGGACCUUGGCCAGCAUGCAGGGCUGGCCAGUCAAGCCCUUGGCAAUUUGCAGGACACUUUUAUGCUCAUGACUUCAUUCUGAUCCUCUCGUGUGCUCUCAGAGGUGGGCGGUAUUGCUGGCCCCAUUUAUGGAUGGAGAAACUGAGGUUCCUAGGGGUGAGGCCAAACGACGAAUAAAUGGUGUUUUGUGGGUCAGCCCCAGGCUCUGAUUCUCCCAGCUUCCAGCAGCCCUUGACCUUUCCCUGGUGGUUCUUGCCCCCUCCCAAACCCCCGGCCUGGCUGGGUUCCUCACGGAGCCCAAAAGCUCCGUUGCCAACAACCUGCUCUGUCUUCCCCAUAGGCUGGUGGCCGCACCCCUUCCUUACGCUGCUCAUUUUCCAUUUUAAGAUUUCCUGUUUGAACUAAAGGGCAAAGAUCUCUGCAGUAUCAGCCUGGAGCCGGGCUUCUGUGUGUAUAAAGGGGAGCCUCGGCUCCUGCCUCCUGUUUGUCCACUGGCCUUAUCGAGGGAGCCCAAGUCCCAAGUUCAGGGGUUCCAGUUCCUUCCCGAUUUGCUGGGUAAAGUCCGGCCCUUCCGUGCGGGUGGCCAGGGCGGGUGGCCAGCCUGGAGCCAGCAGUCAUUUACGGCCGGGCAGUGCUUCCGUCCUGCCUGGCGAGCCGCUGGCUGCAGCAGAGAGACGGAUGGAUGGAUGGACACGGGGACUCAGGAGGGCCUUCCUUCUUUCCCUUCCCCUCCUUUGCCCUCUGCUGUGGGCUGCCUCAUCUGGUGCCUUGCUGGCCUGGGCAGCCAUGUAGGGCUGGCCAGGUCCAUGCUCCCUGCAGCCUCCUGGAAACUACAGGUCUUCUUUUGGGGUCAUGCUGGCUCUCCAGACCGGCACACGCACUCACGCUCACACACGUAUUUCUGCACAAGCACACACUCCCAGCUAAGACCGGGGAUCUCCACGGCUGAGUCCUUUCCCAGAGAGAGGCACUUCACUGGUGCCAUUUUUAUGGAGGAUGAUAAGAAGGAUGGCUGGAAGAGCAGCCUGCUGGUGCCAAGGUCCUUUCAUCUGCGAGUCUCCUCUGAUCCGCGGGACAAACAGGACUCAUCAGGUAGCGAUCGUCCCCGUUUUACAGAUGAGUGAACGCAACUCAGAAUCAAUGGCUUCAUUUAAUCAGCCCUUUAUUCAACACGAGUUUAUAGGGAGCCCAUCUCCCCGGUUCUGGGGGUUAGAGGAGACGUGGAUGCAGGCCUUCUUUGGGUUGCUCAGAAAGUCAGAGAACAAAAUCGGUGAUUGCAAGGCAGGGCGCAGAAUGCCAGAAGAAGCCCCCUGGGGUGUUGUGGGAGCAAGGAGUCGGGGUAUGGGGUGGGGACCCAGGAAAUGCUUCCAGAAGAUUUGUCCACGACAUCUGUGCAGCACAAGGAGACCUGGAGAAGGGUUGUGGCUCUCAGUGGUCUCGAUAGGACAUUCCCCACCUAGCAGAGUCUGCACGCAAAGGAUGCUCAGGGUCCUUCUACGUUGACCAUAAGACUAUAGGUCUCUCCACUGGAUCGUCAGCCCUGCCAGAGGAGGGGCUUCAUCUGCUUUGUGAACUGCUUUAUCUCCAGGGCCGAAAACAGAGCCUGGCCCAAGGCCCUCGAUAAAUAUUUGCUGUUGAAUGAAUAGAUACACACGCACACACGAUGCAUUCACGCCACUCUAUAUCUCAGAACUAUAGAAUCCACAAGCUGCAGGAAGCUUCUAGAAUAGUCCAGGUUGCUAGCUGGGAGCAGAUCCAGAGCCAGAACCUUGGAGACCUGACUCUGAGUCUCCUGUGCUUCCCCCAAAGAGCAUGGGACUCGGUAGAGGUGUUAGGGCACUCAAGUCUGGUCCCAUUUACAUCUUCUAACUUUGGGUGACCUUAUUUUCCUUCACUACAGAAUAAGAAAGUCCUGUUGGCUGACCUUGGGAAGCCCCCUUCCUGCUCAAACAUGAGGCAAGUCUGGGAAUGGGUAAGUGGCACUAGGCAGGAAUUUCCCUGAGCUGAAGAAACUCCUUCUCUUUCUAGUCUGAGAUGGCAGUCUGGUCUCCCUCUGCCAACCCUUGUGGCCAGAAGGAUGGCUGGCCUGUGGUCACUGCUUCUGGCCCUCUGGGCUCCUGCUCAUCUCCCCGCCGGCCUCCCCUGCUGCAUGCUGGGAUGGAUGGGGAUGUGGGCUGCUUACCUGCUCAGGGGGCUCUGCCCACUCUGAGCCCAUCUCCCCAUUCCCUUCUCCAGAAUGAGAUGUCUGGGACCCAAGGAGCCUGGGGAUGAUGGGGUGUCACUGGCUGUCCUAGCCUGUGGUCAUCCUAGAGCCCCAAGGCCUGUGCAGGGUCCUGACCCAGAGUUGCCCAAGCUGGCCUGCCCUUUCUCCUUCCUCCCUCAUGGCCGCUGACCUGUGCAGACUGCAGUAGGAUUUCUCUUGAGGCUCAGAGACUGCAGCAUUGCUGGGAAAGACCUGUGAUGCCCAAAGGGCCCUCAGCCUGCAGCCAGCAUCGUUCCUGGGAGGCAGCGCUUAGAGACUUCAUGGGCAGGAAAGAUGCUCCAUCUGUCUGCCCUAGCCGCCCAGCCUCUCCCAACUGGAGCCCUUUCCAGUGAUGUGGAUUUCCCUUCUCUGUCACUCAACUUCCCCUUCCUCAUCCCUGCCCACCAGGAGGGAAGCUGGGACAGUGGAACUUGAAGUUAGAAAGGAUAGAAAGCCCGUAAACCCCAGCCCUGCCACAAACCAGCAGUGAGACCGAGUCUCAGGUUUCUCAUCUAGAAAAUGAUUAUUUCUUCCCAGGCUUGUGAUGAAG